GUUGACUUGAGUCAUAGGAAUACAGGAAGCUGCCUUAUAUUAAGCCAGACCAUGGGUCAAUUUAGUUGAGUAAUUGUGUAUCUGUACUGACUGGCUAUGACUCUCCAGGGUUUAAGACAUAAAAGAGUUUCCUAGCCCUUCCUAAAGUUGCCAGGAUUCAAAGCUCAGACCUUCUACAAGCAAAGCAGCUGCUCUGAGCCACCAAGCUGAAGGCCCUUCCUCAAGGAACUUCUCUCGAAUCCCUUUGAGUUCAGUGGGACUUACUCCCAGGUAUGCGGUGUCAAGAUAUUCCUGUCUUGGGCCUAACUUGUGGUCCCAGCCUAAGUGUAAAAACUUCGGUUCAGCAAUUAUACCUAGUCUUCCGGCUGUGGUCUGGGAUCGUGAGCUAGCUGUCUCUGGCCCUCAAUUUCCAGCAGGCCCAAGAUUUACUGCACCUGUGUUAUCUACAGAAGCACAGUAUCUCAAGGAAGUACUGUACACGGUCGCUACUUGGAACAACGUAUUUCAGUUGUCCUGUCAUGGAGGCCAUUAUCAGACAGAGAGCCUGGAAAGUUACAAUUAAGAAGCCCUUUUCCUGGCUGAGGUGAGAGCAGAUGAUUGACAGAACAUGGAUUAUGUACCCCAGUGAGUUGACAAAUCAUAUAUAUGCAGCUUUCUUGAUGCACAUCAUUAAUGCAAACCCACAAGAAGUGUUGGAGUAGGAUUAUUCCCCAGGCUAAUCCAAAUUCUGUGCCAAGAACAAAUGAAUCCUGCAACCCAUAUGAGGUAUGCAAAUUAGGCAGAUUUGCAUAUAUUUUCUUAUUUUGUGCAUUUUAUUCUAAUUCUGCAACACAUGGGUUGGACAAAGGACUUUUUAGAGCAUGACAGUUUUAUCAUUUAAACCAUGGCUAACCAACAUGGGCCCCUCUAAAUGUUGUUUGACUGCAACGCACAUCAUCCAUGACCACUGACCAUGCUGAUGAGAGCUGAAGUCCAACAACAUCUGGAGGGCACCACAUUGGCUCCCCCUUAUGUGGAAACAUUCCUUUUGCCCAUUCAUUUUUCUGCCUCUUGACAUCUCACCAGACCUACCUAUUUCCAGGCUUAAUCUACGCAUUUAUUUAGACUGAAAAGCGACAUCAUAUGGUGAACUUUUUCGAAAUGUUGAGUUGUGCAGACAACUUGCUUGCACAGAAUCACAUCAUAUGCAUAACCUUGCUUUUCACCCCCCCCCAAAAAAGAUAAAUUGAGGACAAAGGAGUAGAGGUGGACUUAGGGGAGCACAGCCAGUUCACCCACAAUGGGCUCCAAGCCGAGAGGGCGCUGCAGGAGGCGACACAACAGUGACUUAGAAUCUAAGCUGAGAGGUGGUGUGCAUGUGCCAAAUUUUGGCAUUGCACUGAAAUUUCAGGUCCCAAAGUCUGCCACUGAAAGGAGGGUACUUCUUCACGCACAAUGCAUAAUUAACUUAAAUAAUUUGCUGACAAAAGAUGUGGUGGUGGCCUCAAGUUUAGAUGGCUGAAAAAAGGGAUAGGACAAAUUCAUGGACGAUAUGUUUCUCAUGAUAGCUAAGCAGAACCUCCUAGUGCAAGGGCAGUAUGGCAGCCGGAGCGCCAGUUGCUCAGGAACAACAGCAGGAGUGGUCUCUUGCCUUCAGGUCCUGCUUAUGGGCUUCCUAGAGGCAUCCAGGUAUGUACUUUGUGAAACAGGGUGCUGUAUCCUUACAUUCUUAUGCAGAGAUCCUUUAAUAUUGAACAAUGGCACACUGUUGUGCCAGAUGGGGAAAAUGUGGUGUUUAGCAGUCAAGCGUAAACGGUAUGUAAACCAAAUAGUAACAAAAACUGAUGUGCUCUAGAGCAGUUUGACUUCCUACGGAAAGGCAACGGGCAUAGUUUUAACAGGCAACAUGGGACCUAGAUCACCAAAUUGCAAUGUCUAGGUAAGAUGGAUGGGAGAGAAGCCUUCCUUGAUAGCUUUUUGAAAACACAGCCUUAUCCUAUUUGAAUUCCCCCACUUCUUUCUCUGUCUCUGGAGAAUGAUUGCUGGUGAUGCAGUUCAAAGUGAAAGCACUGGGGAUCUCUUGGAUGUUGGGAAUAGCAAGACCUCUGCGAGAAAUGCUGAUUAAUCUGAAAGGGGAAAUGAUAACAAAUGGAACCUGACUUUGACUUUUAAGAGGGCAAUAAGUCGUUGGAGGGUUUCCUUAAUGUGCCCUGGGAUGCCAAUGACUAGCAGCUGUUCAGAUCUCAUUUCCCUUCUGGUCUAACUGCGUUCUCAUCAGCAGCACAUUAAGCAGAAACGUACAACUUGGGUCUUAUGAACAGAAGGGAGCUUUCCCAGCAUAUCUGGCUCAACAGAAUGCUCGCAAAUGGCAGAAAACUUGGUUUCUAACAUCUGUUGGCAUCUUUGCUGGGCACAGCCAGCUGUUGAGGCAGAAUAUUUCGUGUGCUGAAAAAAUGAAUAAAAGGAAAAAACAAUGAAAUCCUUAAGCUCACAAGAGCCUUGCCAUUUCACACAUGUGAAAAAGUGUUCACUCAUUUCUGCAAAACCAUUCAAAUGUUUCAAAAAUAGAUUUGAGUUAUUUUUAAAAAUUAGCACAAUGUCAAUUUCAGUCGCGCUAUUGUGUCUGUUUUGUGCACAGAUGUCUGACGGAUGGUGGAAGUAUCUGCUGCUCUGCCAAAGGAAAAUGUUACAAGCUUCUGGGAUAUAGAAAGCCAGAAAACAAAUCCACUUUUUAAAAAAAGAAGAAGGGGGGACUUUAUUUUGACUUUGAGGAGCAGUGUUUUGAUGGUCUCAGCCAAACCUUGUGAAAAUGCUGUUGCCUUGUAAGCGUCCUUAAUUCCUCUGAGGGUAACUGAAGUUGGAUGUGUAAGUAAAUAUGUA